rnacentral:rRNA from 1 species
UACGUAGGUUCCGAACGUUGUGCGAAUUUAUUGGGCGUAAAGGGUUCGUAGGCGGUUUAGCAAGUGGUUUGUGAAAUUUCACGGCUUAACCGUAAAAAUGCAUUCCAAACUGCUAAACUUGAGGCAGGGAGGGGUAGGCGGAAUUCCCGGUGUAGCGGUGAAAUGCGUAGAGAUUGGGAGGAACACCGGUGGCGAACGCGCCCGGCUGGAACGGUCAUGACGCUGAGGGACGAAAGCUAGGGGAGCAAACCGG